UACGAAGGGUGCAAGCGUUAAUCGGAAUUACUGGGCGUAAAGCGUGCGUAGGCGGUUUGUUAAGUCUGUUGUGAAAUCCCCGGGCUCAACCUGGGAAUGGCAAUGGAUACUGGCAGGCUAGAGUGUGUCAGAGGAUGAUGGAAUUCCCGGUGUAGCGGUGAAAUGCGUAGAGAUCGGGAGGAACAUCAGUGGCGAAGGCGGCCAUCUGGGACAACACUGACGCUGAGGCACGAAAGCGUGGGGAGCAAACAGG
rnacentral:rRNA from 1 species